rnacentral:rRNA from 1 species
GAUGAACGCUAGCUACAGGCUUAACACAUGCAAGUCGAGGGGAAACGACAUCGAAAGCUUGCUUUUGAUGGGCGUCGACCGGCGCACGGGUGAGUAACGCGUAUCCAACCUGCCCAUCACUUGGGGAUAACCUUGCGAAAGUAAGACUAAUACCCAAUGAUAUCUCUAGAAGACAUCUGAAAGAGAUUAAAGAUUUAUCGGUGAUGGAUGGGGAUGCGUCUGAUUAGCUUGUUGGCGGGGUAACGGCCCACCAAGGCAACGAUCAGUAGGGGUUCUGAGAGGAAGGUCCCCCACAGUGGAACUGAGACUCGGUCCAAACCCCUACGGGAGGCAGCAGUGAGGAAUAUUGGGCAAUGGGCGAGAGCCUGAACCAGCCAAGUAGCGUGCAGGAAGACGGCCCUAUGGGUUGUAAACUGCUUUUAUAAGGGAAUAAAGUGAGAGUCGUGACUCUUUUUGUAUGUACCUUAUGAAUAAGGACCGGCUAAUUCCGUG